rnacentral:lncRNA from 10 species
CCUGCCCAGUGAGGAGGAAUCUAAAGAGGAAGUCUGGCCACAGUCGCUUUUCUGUGCUGGGGUGAAUUCCACACAGUCUGAACUUCCCGGUUGCUUCCUUAACACUGUGUGGGGAAAACCGCCUACUCAAGCCUCAGUAAUGGCAGACUUCCCAACCCCCACCAAGCUCAAGCAUCUCAGAGAUAGGAUCUUGUUCUCUCACCUGAGUUGGAGUGCAGUGGUGCGAUCAUAGCUCACUGAAACCUUGAACUCUUGAGCUCAAGUGAUCCUCCUGCCUCAGCGUUUCAAGCACCUGGGACCACAGGACCAGAAACCAGAAAUGCAAUUUGCCAAGCAUAUGAAGAAUAUGUUUUUACUGGUUUUUGAUAACUUAAAAUACUUCUUCAUCUAAAACCAGGCUGAUCUUGAGAAAGAUUUUAAAGGAGAUUAGAAAAUUCACUUUAACAAACCACUAUCAUAUAGUCACAUCAAUCUUUCGUAGAUAUUUUUGCAAACAAUUACCAGAAUUCUUAGAGUUUAUUACAGAUAUUUUGUUCUUGACCUUUGACACUUGCCAUUUAGCAAUUGCAUGGUUUUACUUUUGUGGUUGUAGAGUUUCUGUUUUUCUUUCAUUAGAAUGAUGUAAGUAGAGGAAUAGAAACUGUUAUAUUUGCAAAAAAAGAGCAAAGAUGCUUUGUGACCUUGGGAAUUAUAUUUGAAGGUUACUCACAAGAGAAUACCUUGUUUAGGAAAGAUGGUUAAUUUUUUUCUUGCAAGCAGACUUUUUUACAAAAUUAGUUAAUGGCAAAUGUGUUCUUUGCUGAAUAUUAAUCUAUAGUAUCAUUUAAGAUGUUCUUAAUUUAUGUUUCUGGACUUUGUUUAAAUGUCAAACUCUAGAAAGGGUAAACUAGCUCACCCCACUGCUAGGUAAUAGCUAGUAUUGUCUUCGCUGCAGGGCAUUUUACAGUAAAAUUUUGAAGUAUAUUGAAAAAAGUUACCAGUUCACUUACUAUACAAUAGCUUGGAAUGUGAAUGUCUGAAAGAAGAAAAAUUCAAUAAAUGACUAUGUAGUUAUUUGGUGGAAUUCACAACAUAAUAACAAGAAAAGGUUUUCAGCUUUGAUCAUAAUGGAAAUGAGUCAUUUAAUUUUACCCUCAGUCCUGGUACACAGUUUCAGCACCUGCUAAGAAGUCGGCUUGCAUUUAAAUGACUUAGGCAAUUAUUAAAAGCAAGUUUCAAGAAAUAAAUGGCAUUUAUAUAAAAAGGAGACUGGGCUCAAACUGCUAGUGCUUUAAAUUUCCAUAAAAGCAAAUUCAAGUUCAGAACAGGAUUCAGGAUUUAGUAACAAUUCAAAGGUUUUCAAUCCCUUAAUCUCUUUGUGAUAACUAUAUUCAUCAUGUAGCCAUUUUUAAAAGGAAGAGAAUAAAAAUGUUAACAUUGAUGUCUACCAGCACUUGUGACUGAAAAAUUGAUUAUAUAUGGUAAAUACUUAUGGCUCCAAAUAGCUAUUUGAUUUAUAAUUUUGGUAUUGAAAUGUAAUGAAAUACUUCUAUUGUAUUUGCAAUCGCUGGAAGAGUAGUAUGAAUCAUACUUCAAAUAAAAAUGCUUCUUUUUAUCAUUUUUCCCAAAUGUUUUGAGUGUAAGAAUGCUGUUUCCUUUUCUCUCAGGUCUACAUAUCUUUACUCAUCAUCUCAAAGGUGAUUAUUUUGUAACUUGACCUUAGUCUUGCAAAGGAGCUCUAUUUAGAGAUUUAAAUAUAGUAUUAACUUAGAAAAUAAAUUUCAACUAUUCAUACUGUUUUACCUAGAGUUAUUACAUUAUUAAGAGUAAAUAUCUUAUUAAACUCAAUAGGGAGCCACAAAAUAGAUAAGAUUUCUAAAGGAGGUAACUGAGUGUAUAUAAAAUAACUGAUGAAAAAUAAAAGUUAAGAAAAUGGGGCAGCUAAAUCAUCUGUCAACAGUAUUUAUAUUGAAAAGACAUUGUAAAUAUUAACUUCAGUUUUUCUAGCUUGCCAUAUGGAAUUGCUAUAAUUGGAAGACAAAACAAAAUGUGGGAAGUACCUGACAUUUCACUUAAAUUUAUUUAAACAAAGUUUGUAUAUGUUCUGAGCCACCUACUAUUUUUGAGGCACUAUUCUAAGUGCUUAUAUUUCUUAGCUCACUUAAUCUUCACAAUAUCAUGAGGUGGAAACUUUUGUUUUUGACCAUUUUACAGAUAAGGAAACUCAAACAAGUACAAUCUAGACCUCCAAAUGGACACGUGCUGCUUAGUAGCUAUGUGGCCUCUGUUCUGAGUCCUGUGACCAUUUCAGAGUUAUAGUUCAUAAUUCCUUCUCAUGUCCUGUAGUCCUGUCACCAAGUGCUAUAAUUUCAUCAUUUCCUUGGAUUGUUCUUUCUUGUUUUUGCCUGGGUUAUCUCCAUUUAUGCCUGAAUGACCAUAUAUCAUAGUCUCUUAGUUUAGUGAAUUUCAGGCAUCAGUCUGAGGACUUGAGUUGAUUUGUGAAGAAAUUUCAGCAUCUGCUCUCUUAACCUAGUGAUUGACUUCCGGGUUUCAAAAAAUGGUUCCUACACAACAGCUAUUAUUAUAGAUUGCUGUAGGAACUACUCUUUGCAGCCAUUUAUUAGCACUCGCAGGGCCACUUUCUAAUCUUCUGAAGGCUCUUUCUGCAUCCAUGCUCGUUCUCUCUAUUUUGCUCUCAUUAUACAGCUGCCAGAACCGUUAUUUUAGAAUGUGAUAUAGUUUGGUUCUUUGUCCCCAUCCAAAUCUUAUGUUGAAUUGUAAUCCCCAGUGCGGGAGGUGGGGUCUGGUGGGAGGUGUUUGGGUCCUGGGAGCAGACCCUUCAUGGCUUGGUGCUGUCUCCAUAACAGUGACUGAGUUCUUGCAAGAAAAAAUACUUCUGUAAGGACAUCUGCCCAGCAACUGCUGGUUCAACUGCCUGGGCUACUGUCACCCUUGUUAUUGAUCCUCGUAGCCAAAGAAAAUUAUCUCAAAACAAUUGUGUAAUCCCCUCAUUUUUCCUUUAAAAAAUUAUUUUAUCUCUGUCAGUAUACACAUAGUUUACUAUGACAUUCAUAUUCCCUUAGCAAUGUCCUAUUCCUGAAUGAAUAUAAUUUUAUUUUAGAGAGACUCUCUUGGUUUGUAGCAAUAAUUUUUCAAUAUAUGAGAUUUAUCUCGAUAUUGUAUGGUUAAUAGUGUUAGUUGCUGUUACUCUGUUCUAAAAAGUGAGGCUAAAUUGUAGCAAAAUGAUAUACCUUUUGUUUUGCAGAAAUCUCCCAAAGAAAAGCCAUAGUUCAGGUUAAAGCAGUUAAGCCUAUGGCAUUUCCUUUAGCAAAAUCGCAAUAAAAGAUAAACUAGGUAGUUAAAUAAUCCUAAGGGUUAGAUUACACGAGCAGUCCAACUUGUUUCAAGUAAGCAUUGAAUACAUUCUUAUUGAGUAAAUAAUCUGUUUCCCAUUUGUAACUUUCUUCAGACUUACCCUCUAUAAUGACUCUUCAGUGAACAACUUUUUGCUAGAAUGACUCUGGCAAAAUGCUAAUAUUUUGGACAAUGACUUGAAAAAUUGUCUAACAACCUUUCCACCAAAAAACAUAAUAUAAAAAUGGGCAUUUCAACAUUGUGAUUUCAGGCAAUGACACAUUUGACAAUUUACUUGACAUAACAAUUUUUAGUCAGAUCCAAAUAUAUGCAUCGCAUUUGAAUUGCCUUCCAUGUAUGGAUGAAUCCAAAGCAUUUUGCUCUCUGUACAUACCCUAAAGUACUUCUGCCUGCUAUUCUCUUCAUCUCUAAGCAAGAGAUGAAGAUGCAGUAUCUUCUGGGAGUCUUCUGUCUGUUAUGCCUCUAUAUACUUAAUCUGUAUUUUACCCAAAGGUGUUUUUCUGGGAUAAUUUUACUUUAAGUGCAAAAUAAUCAUGAGCCCCCCAAGUUUGAAAUAUUAGUGAAAAAAAUGUUUCAGAAAUAAGGAAAAUAAAGGAAGUACAACAUUGCCAUUUAUAUAUAAGCUGU